UGUGAGUAAAGUGGCGUACGGGUGAGUAACACGUGGAUCAUCUACCUUCUAGUGGGGCAUACCUCUGGGAAACCGGAGAUAAUUCCGCAUAAGCUCGUAAGAGGAAAGCAGCAAUGCGCUGGAAGAGGAGUCCGCGGCUGAUUAGCUAGAUGGCGGGGUAACGGCCCACCAUGGCGAAGAUCGGUAGCCGGCCUGAGAGGGCACACGGCCACACUGGCACUGAAACACGGGCCAGACUCCUACGGGAGGCAGCAGUGGGGAAUCUUGCACAAUGGAGGCAACUCUGAUGCAGCGACGCCGCGUGAGCGAUGAAGCCCUUCGGGGUGUAAAGCUCUUUCGACGGGAAAGAUGAUGACGGUACCCGGAGAAGAAGCUGCGGCUAACUACGUGCCAGCAGCCGCGGUAAUACGUAGGCAGCGAGCGUUGUUCGGAAUUACUGGGCGUAAAGAGUGUGUAGGCGGUGUUCCAAGUCUGGUGUGAAAUCUCCCGGCUUAACUGGGAGGGUGCGCCGGAAACUGGAAUGCUCGAGGGUGGGAGAGGUAAGCGGAAUUCCUGGUGUAGCGGUGAAAUGCGUAGAUAUCAGGAGGAACACCUGUGGUGUAGACAGCUUACUGGACCACUUCUGACGCUGAGACACGAAAGCGUGGGUAGCAAACAGGAUUAGAUACCCUGGUAGUCCUAGCCC
rnacentral:rRNA from 1 species